UCAACUCAAUCUCCAAAGAGCUCUCCAUGAGAUUUUUUCUUCAUUCUUCACCCUCAUGGCUGGAGUUCAUGAGGUUGUUCGUGUGCUCCAUCAAAUUUAGGUGUUCUUGAAGCUAAUUUUCUAGGUUAGAAUUUCGCUUCAAUUUGCGGAGUACUGGUUUUCUUCAAAUUCGUUGUGUAGACCAUCGCCGAUCUUCCCAGAAAAAGAAAGGUUAUCAUAAGUUAAUAGUUGGAUUAUGGAUUAUGUUGAAGACACGGAGGAGCCGGACCCGUAACUGGUGGUAUCCGAAAUGGAUAAGGAAGAGUGGGAGUAUUUGCAAGAACGUCUACUUCAUCGCUACCAUAAUCCUCCUCCUGUUGUUGCCCCAUUCAUCCAUGAAAUCCCUGAUGUGCCUGAGACACCUGAUAAAGUCUUAACCACUCGUGAGGUUAUUUCCUAUUUUCGUCGGUCGCGGUGUAAGAUGGCUCGUCGAUUGUUCAGGAAGUCACCUGGGGUAUCCUUGUUUCGUAUUCAACUUCAACUUCAACCUCGGAUCUUCCUCCUUCAACUUCAACCCCGGGGCUUCCCUCUUCUUCGUUGGUAAUUGGUGAGGAAAUUCAAUGUGCUGACUACUCUGUUUCUCACAGAAAGUAUGAAAUGGGGGACGAGAUGUUGUGCCUUUUGUGUCCGGUGUAUUUUACUUAUCACAAGAAAUCAAGUUAAGAAAUCCCUUGAUCUCUCUAUACUCGGGUGGUUAGAAUCACUUAGCUUUGGGUGCAUGGAAUUUGUGUGAGGUCUAAUCUUACCGUUUUGCACAAGUCUACAAACAGUAUAAGGUGAGAUUCCAAGUUUGGUUGCUAAAUCUCUUAAGCAUGUUUUGUCUUUGUAUAGUAUCAUGGAUAUCAUCUAGCUGAUAUCAUAAACAACUUUCUUCCAACUCUUCCUGCCGUUUGAAGGCUCACAUCAGGUUGUAGAUGUUGUUCUCUUUGCCUUUUAGCUUUGUUCCAGAUCUUGCUUGCAGUUUUUCGGUGCACGUUGAAGUCUUUAGCUACGCUAGUAACAGACCCACAAGGAAGAUUGUUGUCCGUUGAUUCAUAAAGCAUGUGUUCUACCAUUCGCUGCCUUUGGCCAUCAGUCAACCAAGGUUUUCUGCACCUCUUUGUGCAACAAUAUAUACUACAUGAGGCCUCCAUUUUUUUUAAUAAAAAGAAGCAAAGUUCAGAAGGUAUUUAUGGCUGAAGUCCAUACAUGGCAGAAGAACAAAAAGAAGAAUGAAGAAAGAGAAAAAGAAAGAGGAAGAAUAAAAGACAACUAAAUGAAGAAAGAGAGAAGGAAGAAAGACAAAAACAUGAAUGUAAAUACCCACCUUCACUUUAUUCCCCCCCCCCUUUUUUUGGGAGGUAAUUGGACAUUUCAAGAAUUUAUAAGAAUGAACAUUUUAAAUUUCACUGUCACCCCCCCUUUUUUGGAGGUAACUGAAAUUUUCAAGUCUUUAGAAGAAUGAAAAUUUGGAGGGAGUGGAAAAUUUUCAGAUUUCCCUCUUGAAUUUAUGAGCAGCGUGAGAAUGAAAAAUUUGGAGGGAGUUGAAAAUUUUCAUAUUUCUCUCUUAAAUUUAUGAGCAGCGUGUCCUUGUAAUUUUCUGCACAUGUGGUGGACCACCACAUAAUUUUUUAUUCCUCUUUCUUGUCACUUUCCAUACUUUCCCACACUUUCCCAUCAUGUUCCAAUCAUUGCCCACACUUUUCUUGGUUCGUGUGAAAUACGUAAGUAUCCCCAUUAUUUCGAAACGGAGAGAGUAGUAAAUAAUAAAUAAAAAAUAAAAAAUAAAAAUUCAAAAAUAAAAAAUCAAAAAUAAAAAUAAAAAUUCA